GAUGAACGCUGGCGGCGUGCCUAAUACAUGCAAGUCGAGCGAACGGACGAGAAGCUUGCUUCUCUGAUGUUAGCGGCGGACGGGUGAGUAACACGUGGAUAACCUACCUAUAAGACUGGGAUAACUUCGGGAAACCGGAGCUAAUACCGGAUAAUAUUUUGAACCGCAUGGUUCAAAAGUGAAAGACGGUCUUGCUGUCACUUAUAGAUGGAUCCGCGCUGCAUUAGCUAGUUGGUAAGGUAACGGCUUACCAAGGCAACGAUGCACAGCCGACCUGAGAGGGUGAUCGGCCACACUGGAACUGAGACACGGUCCAGACUCCUACGGGAGGCAGCAGUAGGGAAUCUUCCGCAAUGGGCGAAAGCCUGACGGAGCAACGCCGCGUGAGUGAUGAAGGUCUUCGGAUCGUAAAACUCUGUUAUUAGGGAAGAACAUAUGUGUAAGUAACUGUGCACAUCUUGACGGUACCUAAUCAGAAAGCCACGGCUAACUACGUG
rnacentral:rRNA from 1 species